rnacentral:rRNA from 1 species
UGGGGAAUAUUGCACAAUGGGCGCAAGCCUGAUGCAGCCAUGCCGCGUGUAUGAAGAAGGCCUUCGGGUUGUAAAGUACUUUCAGCGGGGAGGAAGGGAGUAAAGUUAAUACCUUUGCUCAUUGACGUUACCCGCAGAAGAAGCACCGGCUUACUCCGUGCCAGCAGCCGCGGUAAUACGGAGGGUGCAAGCGUUAAUCGGAAUUACUGGGCGUAAAGCGCACGCAGGCGGUGUGUUAAGUCAGAUGUGAAAUCCUCGGGCUCAACCUGGGAACUGCAUCUGAUACUGGCAAGCUUGAGUCUCGUAGAGGGGGGUAGAAUUCCAGGUGUAGCGGUGAAAUGCGUAGAGAUCUGGAGGAAUACCGGUGGCGAAGGCGGCCCCCUGGACGAAGACUGACGCUCAGGUGCGAAAGCGUGGGGAGCAAACAGG